rnacentral:lncRNA from 1 species
UGAUGAAGAUGACAAGAAGAAAGAGAAAGACAAGGAAAAGAAGAAGAAAACUAAGACGGCAAAGGAUGGUGAGGGUAGUUUAGGUGAAGAGCCAGAGGUAGAUAAUGAAGCUGGAGAGACUGAGAAAAAAGAAGAGAAAGAAGAUAAGAAAGUCAAGGGAAAAGAAGAGAAGAAAAAGAAGGAGAAAGAACAUGUGGAGGAGGCCAAGGAGGAAGAUGAGAAAAAGAAGAAAGAUAAGAAAGAGAAGAAGGAUAAGGAUAAAGUUUUAGAGGAAGAGGAAAAAGGGACAAGGGAAAUCAAAGAUAAAAGUUUGGGGAUUAAGGAACAGCAGGAUGAGAAGCAUGUGAAGGAGGGUAAGGAGAAGGAUGAAGAGAAGAAAAAAGACAAAAAAGUAAAGAAAGAGAAAGAAAAGAAGGUCAAAGAUGAAGAGAAGACAGGUGAGGGAUCUGUGGAAGAAACAGAAAAGAAGAAAGACAAGGAAAAAGAAGAUGAUGAUGGGGAGGAGAAGAAGAAAAAGAAAGAGAAGAAGAAAGAGAAGAAACACA